UUAGAAUUUAUCCGACAUUGAGUCGGCGACGAUUCUCAUCGAUCGGAGUUGUGUCCCCAAUUCGCGGAGAUGCCCAAUCUUCCUUUAGUCGCAGUUCUUUCGUUUGCUCUCAGAAUCUUGGUUUGAGCGGUGGAAUCAGUGGUUUCAGUGCACCUGAAGCUCUGCCAAAUGUUUGUGAAAAUGCCACUCCUUCUUCCAUCAAAUCUUUCAACCAGCUUGUGGUGCAAAAGUAGCAAAGGUAAUAGAGGAUUAAGCUACAGAUUAAUGGAGAAAAGAAGCUGACUUUCAAUGAGUUUUUGAAAGACCCAUCUGGCAUGGAGGCUGUGAUCAACGCUAAGGCUUUGCAGAGUUAUCAUUUAAUUGAAGAU